ACACAUGCAAGUUGAACGGGAUUUGUAUGGUGCUUGCGCCAUGUAAUGAGAGUAGCGCACUGGUGAGUAACACGUGGGAACAUACCUUGAAGUGGGGGACAACAGUUGGAAACGACUGCUAAUACCGCAUAAUCCCUGAGGGGGAAAGAUUUAUCGCUUUAAGAUUGGCCCGCGGAAGAUUAGGUAGUUGGUGGGGUAAAGGCCUACCAAGCCGACGAUCUAUAGCUGGUCUGAGAGGACGAACAGCCACAUUGGAACUGAGACACGGUCCAGACUCCUACGGGAGGCAGCAGUGAGGAAUAUUGGGCAAUGGAGGAAACUCUGACCCAGCCAUGCCGCGUGAGUGAAGAAGGUUUUCGAAUUGUAAAGCUCUUUCGGAUGGGACGAUGAUGACGGUACCAUCUAAAGAAGCCCCGGCAAACUUCGUGCCAGCAGCCGCGGUAAUACGAAGGGGGCAAGCGUUGUUCGGAAUUACUGGGCGUAAAGGGUGUGUAGGCGGAUUUGUAAGAUAGUGGUGAAAUACCUGAGCUCAACUUAGGAAUUGCCAUUAUAACUAUAGAUCUGGAGUGACAGAGAGGAUAUUGGAAUACCCAGUGUAGAGGUGAAAUUCGUAGAUAUUGGGUAGAACACCAGUGGCGAAGGCGAGUAUCCGGCUGUCAACUGACGCUGAGGCACGAAAGCAUGGGGAUCAAACAGGAUUAGAUACCCUGGUAGUCCAUGCUGUAAACGAUGAAUGCUAGUUGUCGGCAAAAGCCGGUGACGCAGUUAACGCGAUAAGCAUUCCGCCUGGGGAGUACGGUCGCAAGAUUAAAA
rnacentral:rRNA from 1 species